CCCAAAUGUUUUCAGCGCUUGAGUAGUGUGGUAAAGGAGCAUGGUUAGGGGGUGGAGGGCAAUUUUGGUGCCUGUGAUUUCAUUGAUUUUGAUGCCGAUCAUUUCCCAGAAGGAUGUAAUGGAGGGGCACGACCACCAUAUGUGGAUAUUCGUUCCCACCUCCAAGCCGCAUCCCAGCAUACGUCUGGGAUCUCUGUGUGCAUGUGAUGUAAGAUGUCCG